GCAGGACCUUCUGCCCUCUGAGCCUUGCGGAUUUCAGACACCUACACCAUAUUUGAUAUAUUUGGUAGCAGAAUUCAAUUGGUUUUGAGUACUUGUUAUGGAAAAAGAAAGGGUUGGAAGAGUGUUGUGGUGGAAAGAUGGUUGCAGAGGGAAGAUUUUAUAUGAUGAAGAGAAGAGUGAACAUUGAAGGGUGGGUAGGUGAAAGCAUCACGUGCAUCACUCAAACACACGUAACAUUUUCAUACUUCAUUUUUUUAGUCUAAUAUUCAAACACAACUU
rnacentral:lncRNA from 1 species